rnacentral:rRNA from 1 species
UACGGAGGGUGCGAGCGUUGUUCGGAAUCACUGGGCGUAAAGGGCGUGUAGGCGGUCUGCUAAGUCUGAUGUGAAAGCCCGGGGCUCACCCCCGGAAGGGCAUUGGAAACUGGCGGACUCGAGUCCCGGAGAGGAGGGUGGAAUUCCUGGUGUAGCGGUGAAAUGCGUAGAUAUCAGGAGGAACACCGGUGGCGAAGGCGGCCCUCUGGACGGUGACUGACGCUGAGACGCGAAAGCGUGGGGAGCAAACAGG